CUGGCUCCUGGCACUUGGGGUCCGCCCCUUGGCCAGGUGGCUUCCUCCUACCUGGCCAGAGCAUGGCAUCGUCUGGCGGUUUGACUGCCCACCCGAGACUCGUUGGACUGGAGUCGGGAGCAUUUCCUCCCAGAAAUAAAGCUCCUCCGUCUGGGCUUAUUAGGCAAACGAGUCAGUUUUGUGUUUUCAGCAAUGAAAGCUGCUGCGGUUUUGUUUUCUCUCUGUUGCCAGGAGUCAAGAGGAAGUCUGUGGUUAGACAUCUUCGGGUGGAGACGUACACAAACACAGCAGCUAGAAAUGAGCUCCUCACAUUCAGCUCGCCCUGCCCGGUGGAAGGAGGCUAAUGAGACUGAACUCAUGGAGCAGGGGGAGGUGGGGAGAGACACGGAGGAACGCUCAGACCUGCAGCAGCACUCACCCCUCCUCUCGUCCCCGGCCGGCCUCGGCUUCCCAUUCUGACAGUGGAAUCCUGCGGAUCCAUGUUCUCUUCCAAGGAUGAGAGGUGAAUCUCUUCAUGAGGACACAAAGGAAUGAAUCUAGGAUAGCGAUGCUUUAAGCGACGUGACAGUUCUGGAGAAAUGCCAGGAUACUGCAGUACCACAGGUAGACCAGAAACCUCGUGGGAAAGGCAAUAUGAACCCCAUCUUGCAGAAACUGCAGUUUCAAGAGGCCAAGAGGUGGCCCAAGGCACCGAGGUGACAGCAACAGGGUCUGCUCUGCAGCCACUCCCCCCCUGGCAAGAGGACACAGUCCCAGCUGGCUCGCCCAUCGCUGACUCUCCCUUUGGGAUCUGGCAAGCUCCCAGGGCACAUGUGUCCUUCGCCAGGGUUACGGAAGGGUGAUGCGGACAAGACAAGAAAGAGACAAGCUCAGAAGCAGAUCACGGCACUGUAUGGUGAGUGCAAUGAUGAAGUUAUGCCCGGGGCAUUAUAGGAGCGUAGAGAACACCUGGUCCUCCAGGAAAUGAUGCCUGAGCUGUCUUCAAGGUUGAAUAAGAGUUAACCAGCAGAAAAGGAUAGGAAAGAACAUUCCAGAAAAAGAAGACCGGUGAGAAAAUUAUGGCCAAUUGGCUUCUGUUUGAACCCUCCAGUGAUGGGUGUUCGGUGGGUAUUCUGUUUGAACCCCUUCAGUAACUCACAAGACUACCAAAGACCCCAUUCUAGAUGAGAAAGCUCAGGCUGUUGGAAAAUCCUUUCUUAUAGAGAGUCUUUCUGUGGCUUCCACUUAUUGGCCUUAUUCCCGACACGGUCUAUACUGAAGGCAGCUCUGUGUCUUUACCUCUUCAGGUAAUAGGGUCCAGCCCUAUCAGGCCUCGCUUGUGCAUCAGAGAGUGGAGCCCGUACCAUGCUUUCCUUACUGGUAUCACGGCCCACUGUUCCAGGAGAACAGGGGUCAGAGUCCCAGAGAUGCUCGGUGGACCCAGCUGCAGAAUGAGUGACCUUGGGAUUGGAGCCGAAUGUUCGGGGAGAGGGCCCAGCUCAGGGUGGAGGGUCUAGGCUCAGCUUGGCUUCCGCGGGCCCAACACAACCACAGUCUGAAGCCCCAAAUGGAAAACAGAGUACAUGUCUUCUAGCGGUCGGAGGCAAAGAGGAAGGGAGGCCGUGAGGGAAGGCGGCUCGCCCUGACCCUUCAGGUCCAGCUCCCAGCUGGGCUUUGAGGGGACCCCAGGCAGUCACCCCUCAGGGAGCUGUGGGUGGGCCAGCCAUGGUGGAUGCCUGAGGAGGUCUGCCUGGCCCUGUGGAAGCCUCUCCAAGCGGUGUCACGGAGCUAAAGGAGGCAAACCGGUGUGACUUAAGGGGUCCUUGAAACAAUGCCCAGCCCUAAACUGUCCCCCCACCCGCCUGCCGCAGACUGGACGCCACUGGGAGUUGUCCCUUCAUGCAAUACGGGAACAGAUCUCCCCAGCAGAGCCAACGCUGUGCCUCAGGCUCCUCCUUCAGACAAUGGAAUUGCCACUGUCCCCGUCAACGUGCUCGCCUCCUGCGACAGGACCCCUGCUCGCCCUCUCCCGCCAGCCUCCCGAUCAGCGUGCAGAAAUGGCUCUGGGGGCUGGACAAAGGACAGCGUUGGACGGUGACCCCACACACACGAGCCAGCUCCGUCUGGUACCACCCAAGGGGACGCUCCUUCUCAGUCUUUUGUCCUCCCGCGAGGCACACGUUUCCGCACAACAGAGGGAGGAACUCACUUUAUGGACUCAACGGUCCAUCCUGAUCGUUUCGGCAUCACAGAGGAGACAUUUGUCCUCAAGCAGAAAGCCUCUACCUCUAUCCAGAGAGGAACCACUGGCCGCUCUGAGAUGCCAGUUUUCCCAUCUUCUACCCAUCACAAGGUCAAGCCCCUCCCCGGUCCUCCUCACCGGCAGCUGGCCUCCCACCAGCAUAAGUGCUCAUUAGAAACGGCUGUUCUGGGGCCCCAAACAGCACAGGAGAGCUUCCCAGGUGACUGCUUAAACAGGAUACAAAGCCUGACUUUGUUGACAAAGCAGAACUGUUCCCAGCGUCUCUGUGCUCCGCUUUGAAGCCAGCCCAUGUUUUUCCCCUUCCCCCAUUCAGCCCUCUGGGCAGAGGUUCCCGACCCCCCCCCCAAAGGAAUCAAUGAGGAGGCGCGAACACUGAGUGCUUGCUUUUUCCAAGAAGAGGUUCUAAGGUGCCAACGCGCUUCCCGGCCAAAAGACUGCAUCUGGUGUGUGGCUGCUGGAGAUUGUCAGGCAUCGGCCAGGUAGGGUGGCCUGCGGAGCCUGCCGGGGCUCAGCAUGGCGUUCGGGUGCACCCCCCCCACCGGGGAAGGAAGCGGUGAGGAAGGGAGAGGAGGGAGGCAGAACCCUGUUAGAGUCGGGGCAGGUGGGCAUCCGUUCGGGGAUGCUUGUCUGGAGCCCCCAGUUCUGCGGGAGCCGCUUCCAAGGCCACUCCUGCAGGAUGUCCUCUCUCACCGCCUCCGCCCUGCAGAGCUCACCUGCUCCCCUUCCCGCAGGUUCAGACUCACUGCCUGCCCAGCGCCUCGAUUCCAGGUGCACCCAGCCUGCUGGGUACUUGCCGGAGCUCUGGGUGUAUGAGAACCCCGUGCUGUCUCGAUGAGUGUUGCCCCAUGCCCUUUUCCCCUGACCUGUCUCAUCUCCCAAAAGUGAGCUAUAUGACCAAAGGGACCGUACAACACUCCGGUGGCCCCAGCGCUUAGCCCAAGUCCUCGAUGUUUUAGUCACAGAACCACACAUCACUGCUUGUAAAUUUGGAUGAUGGUUUCCUUCCAACGCGGCAAGUGCUUGUUUUUCCCCUUUAAUGACUGAAGGAAAUACACGUUAAGAACGUUUCCAGCCUCAUCUCUGUUCCUACUUGCCCCAAGCCUGUAGACAGAGUCACCAAAUUUCCCCUCCGCGUCGGACCAAAUGGCUGGACAGUUUCCGGUGCAAUUAAAAAUCCAGCGGUGGGCGCCUGGGUGGCUCAGUCGGUGAAGCGUCUGCCUUCGGCUCAGGUCGUGAUCUCAGGGUCCUGGGAUGGAGCCCCACAUCGGGCUCCCUGCUCAGCAGGGAGUCUGCUUCUCCCUCUCCC